AAGUCGUAACGAGGUUUCCGUAGGUGAACCUGCGGAAGGAUCAUUAAAGUUUGCUUAAUUGCAUUACACAUGUUUUUUUAGAGAACUGCUUGCAAGAACACUAAUAAUUUACUUAGUCAACAAAUAAAAAUAUCAAAA
rnacentral:misc_RNA from 1 species